UACGUAGGGCGCAAGCGUUAUCCGGAAUUAUUGGGCGUAAAGAGCUCGUAGGCGGUUUGUCGCGUCUGCCGUGAAAGUCCGGGGCUCAACUCCGGAUCUGCGGUGGGUACGGGCAGACUAGAGUGAUGUAGGGGAGACUGGAAUUCCUGGUGUAGCGGUGGAAUGCGCAGAUAUCAGGAGGAACACCAUGCGAAGGCAGAUCUCUGGGCCGUAACUGACGCUGAGGAGCGAAAGCAUGGGGAGCGAACAGG
rnacentral:rRNA from 1 species